rnacentral:lncRNA from 1 species
GAUUAGAUACACUAUUCACCGCAGUCUUCAAGUCAACACAUAAUUCAAAGGUCAUGUCUAACAUUUCCUUUUUCUUUUGAAUUCAUCGUCACCACAUAUUGCUUUUAGAUAGAAAUGACACUACUUAACCAUUGAAUCAAUAUCUAACAUUUUAUUUUAUUUUUGAAUUAAUUGUCACCUCAUAUUUCUUCCAAAUAGGAAUGACACCACUUGUACACCGAAAGGAAUGACACUACUUAGUUGUUGCAUCCAUAUCUAUCAUUUCCUUUUUCUUUUGAAUUAACUAUCACCUCAUAUUGCUUCUAGAUAGGAAUGACCUUAACCGUUGAAUCCAUAUCUAACAUUUCCUCUUUAGAAUGAAUUGUCACCUCAC